CGCCAUUCCAUCUCUCCCUCCCUAUUCAGAGUUCAGAUAUGUUCAUUUGCUUCGCCAUCAAAAAUUCUUCUCAACAAAACAGAAAAAUUAGGGUUUCUGUUGCCUCCCGCCCCCAAUUGGCAAAGCCCAGCGCCAAAUCUCUCUGAAUUCCCUCUGCCAUUUGAACAACCAGGUGAAAAAUCUCCAACCUGGAAAGUUAUUUUUUUUAUAUUAAUUUUUGUGAUUUAUCUCUAAUUAGGGCCGUGUUAGGUUCAUAAUUCAAAAUUUCGAUUGCAGGAUGGCGAAUUCCAGCCAAGAUUUCUCUCAAUUGAACAUUUCUGAAGAGGAAAAGGACAAGCUUGUAGCGGAAGUGAUCCGCUACGUGCUUUUUAAGACGCACCAGAACUCGGGGUGCCCGAUCAAGAGGGAUGAGCUUACUCAGAUAGUGACUAAAAACUACCACCAGCGUUUGCUUCCUGCUUUGGUGAUUAAUGAGGCCAUAGCCAAACUCUCGAGCAUUUUUGGGUUUGAGAUGAGGGAGCUUCAAAGAUCUCGUCCUUCCUCAACGAAUCAGCAAAGUGUUGCUGAUGCUAAAUCCUAUGUUCUCAUCAGUCAACUGCCUGCUGAUGUGUACAGGAAAUACAUUGAUGAUGUAAAUACAGCUCAUCUGACUGGUUUUACAUUUGUGGUAAUUAGUAUCGUGCACCUUGCUGGAGGCAAAAUCCCAGAGGAACAUCUUUGGCAUCACUUGAGGCGGAUGGGAUUACAUGAAACUGAUGAAAGCCAUCCUGUCCUUGGAAACAUCAAGCAGGCGUUGGAGACGCUUGUCCAGCAAAGAUAUUUGCAGAAAGACAAAGUUAAUGGCCCUGAAGGUAAUACUUUGGUUUAUGAGCUUGCUGAGAGAGCUUUAGAUGGCCCAGUUUGUGACAGCAUUAAAGAGUACAUAUCACAGAUUGUGAAAAAGGAAGUUGCCAGUGUGGAAAUUGACUGAGAUGAUGUCCUAGAGUUAAACUCAAGCAACUAAAUGGAGGUAAACCACCACUGCAUCUAAUCAAAUGAAUCUGCCUGCUUGGUGGAAUGAUCACUUGCAUAUCAGCUGUUUGUGCCUUUUGCAGUAGAUGAUAUAAAGUUUGCUUGUCAAUGAGGAAGCCAGGAAGCUUAAGCAAGGAAGACAGAAGAAAGUAGUUUACAUUGCACAUUCUGUUUUGGUUGUUUUCUUUUGCACUUGUAUUGGAGGUUGCACAUGGGGGUCUUGCAUUACCUAAGUAGCAUUGUUUUUUAAGUAAAUGAUUAUCUAACCACUGUAUUCUGUAGCUAAUCUAUAAUUUUUAUAUUUUUCUUUAGAUGUAGGCAUAUAAAACAAUCUGAAUUUCAAUUUAAAUCCUAAAGUUCAAAUUCUA
rnacentral:misc_RNA from 1 species